AUUGAACGCUGGCGGCAUGCCUUACACAUGCAAGUCGAACGGCAGCAUGAUCUAGCUUGCUAGAUUGAUGGCGAGUGGCGAACGGGUGAGUAAUACAUCGGAACGUGCCCUGUAGUGGGGGAUAACUAGUCGAAAGAUUAGCUAAUACCGCAUACGACCUGAGGGUGAAAGUGGGGGACCGCAAGGCCUCAUGCUAUAGGAGCGGCCGAUGUCUGAUUAGCUAGUUGGUGAGGUAAAGGCUCACCAAGGCGACGAUCAGUAGCUGGUCUGAGAGGACGAUCAGCCACACUGGGACUGAGACACGGCCCAGACUCCUACGGGAGGCAGCAGUGGGGAAUUUUGGACAAUGGGCGAAAGCCUGAUCCAGCAAUGCCGCGUGUGUGAAGAAGGCCUUCGGGUUGUAAAGCACUUUUGUCCGGAAGGAAAUGGCUCUGGUUAAUACCUGGGGUCGAUGACGGUACCGGAAGAAUAAGGACCGGCUAACUACGUG
rnacentral:rRNA from 1 species